CGCCCGCCAGUAGGGAGCGCGAGCAGGCUUUGGACCGUCGGUGAGACCGGCCAGUCUUUACCC
rnacentral:rRNA from 1 species